AGCGGCUGCGGUCAGCUUGAUCGGUACGCCAGCGUGGUGGUCGGGCCGAGCGCGUGCGUUCUAUUAAAAUGCGGGAAUUCUGAGGUACCGAGUCCUAAGCGGUAACGGAAUCCUGCGGGGGAUCACUCAGCUUCCGAGUUGGUGGGAGGGAUCGCUGGGAACAGUGCGCUGUGCCCAAGGGAAGCCCCCGUUUUUGUGCUUGGAUGUGAUGAAAUAAAUAUAUUUACAUAAAUAA